CCUACGGGAGGCAGCAGUGGGGAAUAUUGCACAAUGGGGGAAACCCUGAUGCAGCGACGCCGCGUGAGUGAAGAAGUACUUCGUUAUGUAAAGCUCUAUCAGCAGGGAAGAAAAUGACGGUACCUGAGUAAGAAGCCCCGGCUAACUACGUGCCAGCAGCCGCGGUUAUACGUAGGGGGCAAGCGUUAUCCGGAUUUACUGGGUGUAAAGGGAGGGUAUACGGGAGUGCAAGUCUGGAGGGAAAGGCGGGGGACCAAACCCCGGACUGCUCUGGAAACUGUACGGCUGGAGUGCAGGAGAGGUAAGUGGAAUUCGUGGUGUAGCGGUGAAAUGCGUAGAUAUUAGGAGGAACACCAGUGGCGAAGGCAGCUUACUGGACUGUAACUGACGUUGAGGCUCGAAAGCGUGGGGAGCAAACAGGAUUAGAUACCCGAGUAGUC
rnacentral:rRNA from 1 species